GAAACAGUGAAGCUCACAAAUUGUAUUUUGUUUUUGGCUAAUCACUGUGGCAAUACAGUUGUUAGUGCUCAUUUGGAGGACAACACAUUUAUACGGUUAUGCACCUAUUCAUUUUUUCUCUGCUUACAUAUCCAAACCACUUUCAUAGGAACUACUGAAGGGGAUAGAAUGGUAUUUCCAGAUUAUCCCUUAAUGCAGAGAAGAAAUAAUAAGUCUUUCAGACCAGUUUUAACUCCCUGAUUGUGGCAUCCAUCUAUUUUGGUACUAGUACCAAUCCUAGUAAGCCUGAUGCGCAUAAAGUAAAUUCAACUUGCACAAGCAAAAGCAAGUUGUUAUCACUGUGCUACAUGAAGGUUAUAUUGGAGAGGAUCCAUUGUAACUUCAGCCCUUCUUUUUUUUUUUUUUUUUUUUUUUUUGGUACUGACUGGCUGACAUCCCUACUAAUCUGGCUGCAGUACAAAAGUUCCACUUAUUUCCACACAAUUCAGAUCAGAAGCAGCAGGCCCAGUCACAGUGAGCAGCAUGGGGCCUCUCAGGAAGGGUACAGCUGCCACAGAUUCCUGGCUUAUCUGAGACUCACCAGCAUAACACCAGAUAGAAAGCUGAAGAAUGCAAUGGAUGAUGAGUAUUUAGAAGAAGAAUGAACCCUGAAGGAGAAUAAAGCGCAAGCCUCGAAGAUUGUCA
rnacentral:lncRNA from 1 species